UUCGCUGGAAAGCAGCACAUUGUAUUCGGCACACGCCACAACCGCAGAGCUUCUUCUCUAUAUCUCCUUGGUCAAAAUCGCCAAGCUACUCUUUGAAAAGUACAAACGAUUUUUAUAGAUCAAGCUUUUGCGAAGACCUUAGCUUCAGCACAAAGGAAAGAUCCGUGUAUUUCACCAGACAUCACACGCUUGGCCGCGAUACCUGCUAUCAAAGUGAGAGGAUUUGCCAGAGAUCAGAAAUCUCCCCAGCUUUACCCUUGUUUAAAUUUGCACUUAUGAACAGAUUUUCUGUAAAUUCGUUGAUGGCCCAUUCAUCCAGAGCCCUCUUCUAUUCUAACACAUUAAUACAUGUCUUCCUGCUGAUAAUUUGGUUUCGGGGCUUCACUUGAAGGAUGAUGCAAGGAACUUGCACUAGAAAUGAAGACAAUAGUUACAGGUUACUGAAAUCGCAAGUAACAAGUAGAAUAUAAUGACAUUCACUGAAAGAGACCGGUAAACACAUUUGCCACCAGAAUGAAAGGGGAUAAAGAUGCCAACACUCAGAAUUGAACAUGACUUCGGCUCAUUCCUACCUUAAAAAAGGAAGACAGUAGGUGUGCACCCGGAAUUUUAAGAGCUCAUACUGUACUUCAUUGAACAAUUUCCUAGUAUAGUAUUGAUUAUAGAAUAGUUUUUGUUUUUCUAAUGUUCAUUUAUUGUUAUAUUUUAUAGAUUAUAGAUCCUAUUUUCUUUGAGUUUUACCCACACCAACCAAUUGCUUCCUUUGCCAAAGUAAUGCUACAGGAAACAGUUAUAAUGACACAAAUAUGG